ACACAUGCAAGUCGAGGGGCAGCAUGGUCUUAGCUUGCUAAGGCUGAUGGCGACCGGCGCACGGGUGAGUAACACGUAUCCAACCUGCCGUCUACUCUUGGCCAGCCUUCUGAAAGGAAGAUUAAUCCAGGAUGGGAUCAUGAGUUCACAUGUCCGCAUGAUUAAAGGUAUUUUCCGGUAGACGAUGGGGAUGCGUUCCAUUAGAUAGUAUGCGGGGUAACGGCCCACCUAGUCAACGAUGGAUAGGGGUUCUGAGAGGAAGGUCCCCCACAUUGGAACUGAGACACGGUCCAAACUCCUACGGGAGGCAGCAGUGAGGAAUAUUGGUCAAUGGGCGAUGGCCUGAACCAGCCAAGUAGCGUGAAGGAUGACUGCCCUAUGGGUUGUAAACUUCUUUUAUAAAGGAAUAAAGUCGGGUAUGCAUACCCGUUUGCAUGUACUUUAUGAAUAAGGAUCGGCUAACUCCGUGCCAGCAGCCGCGGUAAUACGGAGGAUCCGAGCGUUAUCCGGAUUUAUUGGGUUUAAAGGGAGCGUAGAUGGAUGUUUAAGUCAGUUGUGAAAGUUUGCGGCUCAACCGUAAAAUUGCAGUUGAUACUGGAUGUCUUGAGUGCAGUUGAGGCAGGCGGAAUUCGUGGUGU
rnacentral:rRNA from 1 species